GUAAACAUUUAGGAGGAUGGCAUCCACAUCUGCCAGGAGUGGGGACAAAAAGGACAUCAGGUCAUCUCAAGCUGCCGCCUCCUUAGGUGGAGGGCAGAAAUUAUCCUGCUCUGAAGAAUUCCUGACCCGAAUCAGCACAGAACUUACAGACGAAGCACUGUUUAUUGCUCGCUCCCGUUUGAGUCCUCUGCCCAAUAAGGAAAAGAACACAAAAGACCAAGGGACUCAGAUAUCUAGACAUGUGUUCUUCACUAAGACCCGAGGCACUGACACCCGCUCUGACAAAAAUCGAACCCGAACCAAGGCACACCUUCUGCCAUCUCCUCGUGAAAAGGGACCACUCCCCAACAGCCUGACAACUGGAGGAUGAGCUCGGCCCUCCCUAGUACUGCUCUCUCAGCUUCUUGCCUUCCCCCACUAUGUCCCUCAGUGAAAACCUCAAGGCCUCUCUUUUGCAACUGGCUAAGCCUCUCAUCUUGGGAGGAACUCCUGGUCAUAAGCAAUGCCACCUUUGAAACCAAGAAAAUCUUCUGGAACUGUCGCGGGGCCCUCCACCCUCCGUGGGCAAAUGCUACUGAGAAGAAAAGGUUUUAAUAAAGAACCAGGAUCCUCCCUUC
ensembl:lincRNA